CCUACGGGAGGCAGCAGUAGGGAAUAUUGCUCAAUGGGCGAAACCCUGAAGCAGCAACGCCGCGUGGAGGAUGAAGGUUUUCGGAUUGUAAACUCCUUUUGUUAGAGAAGAUAAUGACGGUAUCUAACGAAUAAGCACCGGCUAACUCCGUGACAGCAGCCGCGGUAAUACGGAGGGUGCAAGCGUUACUCGGAAUAACUGGGCGUAAAGAGCGCGUAGGCGGGGUAGCAAGUCAGAUGUGAAAUACUAUGGUUUAAACAUAGAACUGCAUUUGAAACUGUUAUUCUAGAGUAUGGGAGAGGUAGGUGGAAUGCUUGGUGUAGGGGUAAAAUCCGUAGAUAUCAAGAAGAAUACUGAUUGCGAAGGCGACCUGCUAGAACAUAACUGACGCUGAUGCGCGAAAGCGUGGGGAGCGAACAGGAUUAGAUACCCGGGUAGUC
rnacentral:rRNA from 1 species